AACGCACCUUGCGCUCCUUGGUAUUCCGAGGAGCAUGCCUGUUUGAGUGUCAUUAAAUUCUCAACCUUAUCAGUUUUGUUACAAACCUGUGUAAGGCUUGGAUAUGGAGGUUUGCAGGUCCACUACCAUGGUCUGCUCCUCUGAAAUGUAUUAGCGGGUUAAGCUCCCGUCUAUUAGUGUGAUAAUUAUCUACGCUAUAGAUGUGGUAAGCUAUAAUUGACCAGCUUCUAAUCGUCUUUCGAGACAACUUUUGACAUUUUUGACCUCAAAUCAGGUAAGACUACCCGCUGAACUUAA
rnacentral:misc_RNA from 1 species